GUGCUCGCUUCGGCAGCACAUAAACUAAAAUUGGAAUGAAACAGAGAAGAUUAGCAUGGCCCCUGCACAAGGAUGAAAUGCAAACCUGUGAAGCAUUCCAUACUAAA